rnacentral:misc_RNA from 1 species
ACAGUGACUCAUGCUCACUGAUCCCCCCCCUUACACGUACAAGCCGCACCCGCUUCCGCACACAGCGUAGACUUCAUUGAAAACGGCGCUGAAUGGUGCUUAUCGCGUUGUCUUGUAGUCUCCACGUGAGCUCUUAUUAGUGUGCAUGUGCCUUUCCCGGGGGGGGGGUGCUGGACCUUUUGACUGUGCAGCCAGCUACUGAUAUCUGCAUCAGUAGCGGGGAAAGGUCCAAUAGCACCCGCGCCCCGCCCUUACACGGACGCAUACACAUCCACGCGCCUCCGUGAAGGGGCACUCAUAGAUCAAUUCAGCAUUCACAGGGCACGAAGCGGGCUGAGGCCUUGUGCUUAUCAGGUACCUUUUGUUUGGCAGAGACGAUGAGUUCUGCGCUGCAACCCUCGCCGCCUGCGCUGCAGCGGUCGAAACUCGGCGUGAGCGGCACAACAUCCGACGAUAGUACCCACAACGGUCAGCUGGAGACGUUUCUGCGCGAGCGGCUCGAGAACUGGGAUAAAGAGGCCGCCGAAGUCAUCAUGGUGUGGGGCCGAUUGGGUGGCAUGUGCUCAUCUGAGUAUCAGUCGCAGCUACGCAAGGCGCGAACAACUUUGAGCGAGACGAACAAAAAGGAGAAGCGGCGCGACACGUCGGCGCUGCAGGCGCGCGAUGAUUCGAAGACAGAUGGCCAUCAGAGCCAUCGCGAUCGCCUUGCCGCUGAAUACUGGGCUCGUACGCAGGCAAAGCUGAAUGCCGCUCAACAGCAGCGUGGCCGGCAGCUUCGCCGCCAGCAGCGGCUGCAAGCAAACGGGCAGGCACCUGUCAGCCUCUCCUCUGUGUCUCAGCGCACGCCACCGGUGUUCUCUGGGCAAGUGCAUACCUUGAGAGCCGCGUCGACCUCCGUUUCGCCGCGGCUAACGGCUGCGCGGGGCCAGUACGUGCCUCUCACACCAGCACCUCCCACCAGUCCUCCUUGCAGCUCCAGACGCGCCAGCGGAGGCGGCGUCGCGCAGCGUGGGGCGCCAAGCGUGCGCAAGGUGAAGCAAAAGGCAAGGAACAGCGAAGACAUCCAUAAGCACAAGGAGCUCACUGCCCCUCUGAAUGAGCGUCGCGACUUCACUCUCUCCGGUGCCGGCAGCGAGGGCAGUGACGGCAGCAGCAGUCUGAUCCUCUCGACAACAGACGAAGAGCAAGUCAGUGCGGUAGCGUCAACUCCCACCGCGGCAACGUCGCAGCCCAGCAGCUCUUUCUCCGGCACCUUCAUUGUGCGACGGCGGCUGAGUGUGCACGGCCAACCCUCCUCCUCUUCCACAGUCGCGUUCCAACACACAGUUCAACGAAGUCAUUCAAUGACAAGCAGCCCACGGUCAGUCGCUCCACCUCCGCCGCAGCCGGCUCACCAAACUUGUCAGCGCAGUUCUUCGACUACCUCCGACGCGACGCAAGAGGACCGUGCCGAUGGCAAGGUGAACGCGCCGUCAUCUGUUUCUACGGUCGACCCGUCGCUGCCGUUUCACUCACGCACGGUGACGGCCAUCUUUACCUACAGCUCGCGCUCGCGUGAAAAGACGUCGGGGCCGCGCCGACGACGCAGCACUCAAGAGCGACGCCACGACAACUCCGCGCACACGGAGCAACCUCGCGGUGAACCAGAUGCGGAAGCGCAGGAAAGCGCCUCAAACGCUCCGUCGCAGACCGUCUCCCCCAUCAAAAAAGAUUCACACGCAGAUGAUCUUUCUUCCGUCUCCUCGGCAGCUUCGUACCUGAAUCGAGGUGUUCUCGAAGAGGAGUGAGUUGCGAACCGCCUUCGUUUCCUUCAUCGGUGUUUAUCGUCUCCCUCACGACUCCACCCAGUCCUCCUUGUUCCAUUGAUGGCAUGUUUUGAGGGGUGCCGCAGCUGUGCUUCGAUGAUCUGCUGAAGUGUAUAACGAAAGAAAGAGACAGACUUUGGCGGAAGCGCCGGAAAUAAGUGCGUCUGCACCCUGUACACGGUGUGGAAAUCUGUUCCCUAAUGGACGGUGCUGCCGAUGCGCCACCGUCGUCACCAGCAGCACGACCAGCGUGGACUCUGCGUCGCGACGCCCUUUCGCAGCUGCUUCUUUCGCUGCCUAGCACGCACCCGACUCGCUGUUUGCACCUGUCACCGCCUCCUUCAUCCCGCGGCUUGACCUUGGCGCACACGCCGGCGCUCCUCCUCUGUCCUCACGGCGGUCCCUCUCCCCCUCUUGACACGGCAUCAGCAGCCCAACGCACCACUGCGCCACCCCUGCAAAAAAAAAAAAACGACACAAAAGUAAGAGUUGUCUUUCUUUUUUUUUCAUCGCCUCUUCACACCUUCCGGAUUGCGUUCCCGCCGUCCUCUCAACCGUCGAUGCUGUUCGGCACACUGGCGAAUACAAAUCCCUCGCACUUUAGGUACGUUCAGAGUCAUCACUCUGUGCAUCGGGGCGCCACUACGUCGAUGGUUGUUUGCCCUUUUUCCCCCACGUUUCUACCUCACCCUCUCCUACCGUCUACUCCCACGCGUCGAUAAGCACCGUAAG